rnacentral:rRNA from 1 species
CUUUGGGUGUGACUGCGUACCUUUUGUAUAAUGGGUCAGCGACUUAUAUUCUGUAGCAAGGUUAACCGAAUAGGGGAGCCGGAGGGAAACCGAGUCUUAACCGGGCGUUAAGUUGCAGGGUAUAGACCCGAAACCCGGUGAUCUAGCCAUGGGCAGGUUGAAGGUUGGGUAACACUAACUGGAGGACCGAACCGACUAAUGUUGAAAAAUUAGCGGAUGACCUGUGGCUGGGGGUGAAAGGCCAAUCAAACCGGGAGAUAGCUGGUUCUCCCCGAAAGCUAUUUAGGUAGCGCCUCGUGAAUUCAUCUCCGGGGGUAGAGCACUGUUUCGGCUAGGGGGCCAUCCCGGCUUACCAACCCGAUGCAAACUGCGAAUACCGGAGAAUGUUAUCACGGGAGACACACGGCGGGUGCUAACGUCCGUCGUGAAGAGGGAAACAACCCAGACCGCCAGCUAAGGUCCCAAAGUCAUGGUUAAGUGGGAAACGAUGUGGGAAGGCCCAGACAGCCAGGAUGUUGGCUUAGAAGCAGCCAUCAUUUAAAGAAAGCGUAAUAGCUCACUGGUCGAGUCGGCCUGCGCGGAAGAUGUAACGGGGCUAAACCAUGCACCGAAGCUGCGGCAGCGACACUGUGUGUUGUUGGGUAGGGGAGCGUUCUG